CUUGUGAUUCUCUCUCCCCCUCUACCCUUCCCCAAUCCUUAAAAAAAAAAGGACUGCAGACCUACAUAGUUGGAAACGCCUCAUAGAGUAUAUGUGUGGUUUCCUUUAUUCACAGAACUAUGUGUUAGAUCUGUGGGAAAGAACUGUAAGACAUUU